UACGAAGGUGGCAAGCGUUGUUCGGAAUCACUGGGCUUAAAGCGCACGUAGGCGGCCUGUUAAGUGCUCUGUGAAAUCCCUCGGCUCAACCGAGGAAUUGCAGGGCAAACUGGCGGGCUUGAGCAAGGUAGAGGUGAGUGGAACUCUUGGUGGAGCGGUGGAAUGCGUAGAUAUCAAGAGGAACGCCGGAGGUGAAGACGACUCACUGGGCCUUUUCUGACGCUGAGGUGCGAAAGCCAGGGGAG
rnacentral:rRNA from 1 species